rnacentral:rRNA from 1 species
AUUGAACGCUGGCGGCAUGCCUUACACAUGCAAGUCGAACGGUAACGGGCCUUCGGGUGCCGACGAGUGGCGAACGGGUGCGUAAUACAUCGGAACGUGCCCGAUCGUGGGGGAUAACGAGGCGAAAGCUUUGCUAAUACCGCAUACGAUCUACGGAUGAAAGCAGGGGACCGCAAGGCCUUGCGCGGACGGAGCGGCCGAUGGCAGAUUAGGUAGUUGGUGGGAUAAAAGCUUACCAAGCCGACGAUCUGUAGCUGGUCUGAGAGGAUGAUCAGCCACACUGGGACUGAGACACGGCCCAGACUCCUACGGGAGGCAGCAGUGGGGAAUUUUGGACAAUGGGUGCAAGCCUGAUCCAGCCAUGCCGCGUGCAGGAUGAAGGCCUUCGGGUUGUAAACUGCUUUUGUACGGAACGAAAAGCCUUCUUUUAAUACAGGAGGGUCAUGACGGUACCGUAAGAAUAAGCACCGGCUAACUACGUG